rnacentral:rRNA from 1 species
GAUGAACGCUGGCGGCGUGCUUAACACAUGCAAGUCGAACGGAAGUUUUAAAUGGAAGUUUUCGGAUGGAAAUUUAAAACUUUAGUGGCGGACGGGUGAGUAACGCGUGGGUAACCUGCCGUAUACAGGGGGAUAACACUUAGAAAUAGGUGCUAAUACCGCAUAAGCGCACAGUAUCGCAUGAUACAGUGUGAAAAGCCUUGACGGUAUACGAUGGACCCGCGUCCGAUUAGCUAGUUGGUGAGGUAGAGGCUCACCAAGGCGACGAUCAGUAGCCGGCCUGAGAGGGUGACCGGCCACAUUGGGACUGAGACACGGCCCAAACUCCUACGGGAGGCAGCAGUGGGGAAUAUUGCACAAUGGGGGAAACCCUGAUGCAGCGACGCCGCGUGAGUGAAGAAGUAUUUCGGUAUGUAAAGCUCUAUCAGCAGGGAAGAAAAUGACGGUACCUGACUAAGAAGCCCCGGCUAACUACGUGCCAGCCGCCGCGGUAACAC